rnacentral:lncRNA from 1 species
GCCCAAAAAUUCCAACCGGAAUUCCCAACAUCCCAACCCAAAAACCCCAAAAUUCCAAGAAUUCCCAUGGAAAAUUCCAACCCAAAAAUUCCAACCCAAAAUUCCCAAAAUUCCAAGAAUUCCCAUGGAAAAUUCCAAUCAGAAUUCCCACAACUUCAGUGUGGAAAUCCCAAAAAUUCCAAGCCCAAAAUCCCAAAAAUUCCUAUGGAAAAUUUCCAGCCAGGACCUGCAGAAUUCCCUAAAAAUUCCAACCCAAAAUUCCCAAAAAAUUCCAACCCAGAAUUCCCUAAAAUUCCAGCCUGGAAAUCCCAAAAUUCCAACCAAAAAAUUCCCAAAAAAUCCCAAAAAAUCCCCCAAAAAUUCCAAAAAAAUUCCCAAAAAAUUCCCUAAAAAUUCCCAAAAAAAUCUCAAAAAAUUGCCAAAAAAUCUCCAAAAAAUUCCCAAUAUUUCCC